rnacentral:rRNA from 1 species
GCUGGCGACCAUAGCAAGAGUGAACCACCUGAUCCCUUCCCGAACUCAGAAGUGAAACCUCUUAGCGCUGAUGGUAGUGUGGGAGUGAAACCUCUUAGCGCUGAUGGUAGUGUGGGAUUACCCAUGUGAGAGUAAGUCAUCGCCAGCU